rnacentral:tRNA from 1 species
GCGCCCGUAGCUCAAUUGGAUAGAGCAACGGCCUUCUAAGCCGUAGGUUGCAGGUUCGAACCCUGCCGGGUGCGCCA